AUUGAACGCUGGCGGCAGGCCUAACACAUGCAAGUCGAGCGGAGCGGCGGACGGGUGAGUAAUGCCUAGGCAUCUGCCUGGUAGUGGGGGAUAACGUCCGGAAACGGGCACUAAUACCGCCUACUAUCCGCUGAGCCUAGGUCUGAUUAGCUAGUUGUUGGGGUAAAGGCCUACCAAGGCGACGAUCCGUAACUGGUCUGAGAGGAUGAUCAGUCAAACUGGAACUGAGACACGUUCCAGACUCCUACGGGAGGCAGCAGUGGGGAAUAGUGGACAAUGGGCGAAAGCCUGAUGCAGCCAUGCCGCGUGUGUGAAGAAGGUCUUCGGAUUGUAAAGCACUUUAAGUUGGGAGGCGUUACUAACAGAAUAAGCACCGGCUAACUUCGUGCCAGCCGCCGCGGUAAUUC
rnacentral:rRNA from 1 species